UACGGAGGGCGCAAGCGUUGUUCGGAAUUACUGGGCGUAAAGCGCAUGUAGGCGGCCUGACAAGUCGAAUGUGAAAUCCCGGAGCUCAACUCCGGAACUGCAUACGAUACUGUUAGGCUCGAGUCUCGGAGAGGAUGGCGGAAUUUCCGGUGUAGAGGUGAAAUUCGUAGAUAUCGGAAGGAACACCAGUGGCGAAGGCGGCCGUCUGGACGAUGACUGACGCUGAGAUGCGAAAGCGUGGGGAGCAAACAGG
rnacentral:rRNA from 1 species